rnacentral:lncRNA from 1 species
CUUAAACUCUUACUCAAGACCCCUAUUUUGAAUCAUUGGAGUGAAGAAUAUAUACAUGAAGAUUACUCACCUUCUUUCCUUGUUUCCAUUUACUUACCAUGGCUAGGAUUUGUUUUCCUCAAGAGAGACCAUACAUGCAUAUUAUUUGUUAAGACUUUUUCUAGCUUUCAGAGUGACUUGCCCUUACCUUGAAGUACUUUAUUCAGACUUUUGCACUUUAGAUCUUACUUGGAAAGGUCACCAACCUAUUUUUG